AGAGUUUGAUCAUGGCUCAGAAUCAACGCUGGCGGCGUGCCUAACACAUGCAAGUCGAACGCGAAAGCCCCGCAAGGGGCAAGUAGAGUGGCAAACGGGUGAGUAACGCGUGGGUGACCUGCCUUCGAGCGGGGGAUAACGUUCCGAAAGGGACGCUAAUACCGCAUAACAUCCCGCCCUUGAACGGGUGGAGAUCAAAGCUGGGGAUUCGCAAGAACCCGGCACUUGAAGAGGGGCUCGCGUCUGAUUAGCUAGUUGGUGAGGUAACGGCUCACCAAGGCAACGAUCAGUAUCCGGCCUGAGAGGGCGGACGGACACACUGGGACUGAGACACGGCCCAGACUCCUACGGGAGGCAGCAGUGGGGAAUUGUUCGCAAUGGGCGCAAGCCUGACGACGCAACGCCGCGUGGAGGAUGAAGAUCUUCGGGUCGUAAACUCCUGUCGAAUGGGACGAAAAGAUUGCGGGUUAACAGCCCGUAGUCCUGACGGUACCGUUAAAGGAAACCCCGGCUAACUCCGUGCCAGCAGCGGCGGUAAUAC
rnacentral:rRNA from 1 species